rnacentral:rRNA from 1 species
ACGACUACAUAUCAGGCAUAUCAAUAAGCGGAGGAAAAGAAACUAACAAGGAUUCCCUUAGUAACGGCGAGUGAAGCGGGAAGAGCUCAAAUUUGAAAUCUUCAAGGUUUUACUUUGACGAAUUGUAGUUUAAAGAAGUGUUUUCUGUUGAAGUUUUGGUAAAAGUUCUUUGGAAUAGGACAUCAUAGAGGGUGAGAAUCCCGUAUUUGACCAUUAUUUCCAGCUGUGUGAUACACUUUCAAAGAGUCGGAUUGUUUGGGAAUGCAGUCCAAAAUGGGUGGUAAAUUUCAUCUAAAGCUAAAUAUUGGCGAGAGACCGAUAGCGAACAAGUACCGUGAGGGAAAGAUGAAAAGAACUUUGAAAAGAGAGUUAAACAGUACGUGAAAUUGUCAAAAGGGAAGCGUUUGACACCAGUGUUGUUUUCUCGAAAAUCAAUUAAAAAUAGUUGGAUUUUGUGUUGUAUUGACCUUAACAGCUUGCUUCACUCUUUUCCAGCUUUUUUUAAUGCACUUUUCGUUUAACAAGUCAACAUCAAUUUCUUUUGUUGUAAAAGGGUCAUUGGAAGGUGGCUUUCUCUUCGGAGAAAGUGUUUAUAGCCUUUGAGCCUCUGCAAUCGGAGAGACUGAGGUCUGCAGCGUAGAUCCUUCGGGGUUAGAUACAUUUGUGCUAAGCUACAGCUUUUCAUAGACAACUUGUUGACUAUGUUUAGUCUUGUAACUUACCCGCUUAUGCUAUUUUACCUACGCUUAGGAUGUUGAGCGCAUGUCUCUCUCU